AUGAGAUUGCAGGCGACUGUCACGCGAAGGCUGUUAGUACAGGGUCGCUCGGCGACUGGGCGACUGAGCCCUGGCCGGUUCCCCGUUCCUGCCUCGACCCUGGGGGGCCGGGCCGGGCCGGGGCGGGAUGGGGAGACCCCGGGCUGGGGCAGGCGGGCUCGGGGCCCCGGGAGGCCUCCGGGGAGGCUGCGGCGGGGCCACGGAGCGGCCUCCCAGGGGAAAACCAGAGCGGUCUGGGGCGAGACCCCCGGCGGCCAGGCUGGGCGGGCGCCGGCCGCAGCCCUGAGCGGAGGGUCGGCGAGCCCCCGGCCCCUGGCCCCGCUCCUCCCCUCACUCACCCGCGGACUGCGCGCGCUACCACUCCUCGGGAUUCGCCUCUCGCCCGGCUUUCAAAGCUCCUCCAAGUCCAGCUCGUGCGCCCCUCCGCGCUCUUCCUGCCCCCCGGGCCCUUUGGCUUCUGGCAAGCUCCUAUCCUGGAAGGCUCACCUCAGAUGUCCCCUGCGGAAGUCUUUUCUAGCACCUUCCCCAUCAGGUGACCCACACAGACGCCUCCCCAGGGCCGCGCACAGAUGUCCGCACAGUACUGUUGGAGCUCCUAACCCUUUGACCAACAAAAUGUUUAUCGACACCAGUUCUUUACCAGGCAGUGUGAUUUAAUUUAUCCGUUUGCUUCUCUGUCGCUCACUAGAUUCGAGGGCAGGCCCACGUCUUAGGGAAUCCGAGGGUCCCCUCCCCCAGCAUCUCCGUGGCGCCCAGGGAGGCCAAGGAGGGUUUGGAGUCCAGCCAGGGGGACUCCCAGUUCCAGCUCCACUUAAAGGACAGCUGCCUUUGGCUAAGUUCCCUGACCUCAGCCUGGGGCUCUCGAGGAUUAUAAGGUAUGGAGAGGCGCAGGUGGACACUUAGGGAGCAGUUGCCCAUCCAUCCAUUCUUUGGUUCCUGCAGCAAAUCCUCGUCAGGGGUCUCUAAGGGGCCAGGCACUGCCACAGGUGUUUCAGGGCAAGGAAAGAUCCAGUCCUGUCUUCCAGUUGGGGCUGACACAGGAGGGGAGCACAGCGGCUGGGUGAGAGGAUGGGGUAGCUGUGGACACCAUUCAGUGCUGCCUUCUUGGCCUUCAAAGCCUUUGCUGUGGCUCCCACUUUAGGAGGAGCAGGAGCUUGCUUCUUCACUUUCAACACCAUCUUCGUGCAAAGGCCCCCUGAAUUCCAUUGUCACAGGUCAGUGUGGCUUGAGGAGAACUGAAGGCCCUAAGCGCUAAAGCAGGGAGAUUGGUCAGGGAGUUGUGAGAGAACCCCAGGGGGGAAAAGACAGGAGCUCAAACCAGGGAGGCGGCAGUGGAGUGAAGAAGUGGUCAGAUCCGGGAAGUCUUUGGAGGUAGGACCACUGCUCAUGUGGGGCAUGAGAGAGAAGGGUCACCAAGGCUUUGGGGUUCUGCUCCAGCAGCUGCCCUGCUGCCUGCCUCCCUCCAGCUGAGUUAGGAACCUGUUCCAGGUGUUCCAAAUUGCAAGCAGAGGGCUGUUUUGCAGGGGCCUCAGGUCUCCACUCAGAUGAGGGAAGACUUGACUUCUCUGUGUCAUAGGGAGUCUGGCAACACUGGAGAGAUGAUGAAUCCCUAGAGCUUCUGGGAAAAGGAGGGCUUGAUAGGGGCACCUCAAGGAGGGAGGCUUCAGGGAGCCUGGGUGGCUCAGUCAGUUAAGCCACUGCCUUCAGCUCAGGUCAUGAUCCCAGGGUCCUGGGAUAGAGGCCCACAUGGGACUCCCUGCUCAGCAGGGGGCCUGCUUCUCCUCUCUCCUUGCCCCUCCCCCUUGCUCCUGCGCUCACUCGAUCUCUCUCUCUCACUGUCUCAAGUAAAAUAAAAUCUUUUAAGGAAUAAAAAAGGAGAGAGGC
rnacentral:lncRNA from 12 species